GUCUGAGCAGUCAGCUGAGGGUGCCAGUGAGAAGGCUUUCUGCUGAUCUUUCAGGCUGUCAAAGGAAUUGGGGAGUAGGCGGAACAAUGGAACUGUGGCAGGCAUAUUGAGUGGCAGAGCAGACACCAAGAUUUUGCAAGCACCAUCAGAACAGGAAGUACACAGUUGAAUUCUCACCAGAAAAAGAAACUCCAAAGAAUUCCAGAAUCACAGCGAUGUACAGCACGGAACAAAAAUAUUAAAGACAACUAAAUCAGACUAACACAGUCCAUAAUGAGAGGAACAUUUCUUAAGUAGCAUGCAAGGAUAUUGGAGCCAUCUGUUAAUUCCUUUAUUUUGUUGAAGAUACUACUGCACAUGAUGUGAAUUGCUGAGAGAAGGUUGUGGAUGUUCCAUCAUUGACUUAAGCCUGAGAUGCUCAGCUUUGUGAACUCUCAGGAAAGCGGAGGAUUGGAGGGUUGGCCAGGAAGGCGCAGUUAAGUGCAAGAUCAGCUAGGACCACAUUGAAUGGCAAAGCAAGUUCUGAGAUGUCUAUUUCUUAAGUUCUUAGCUGCAAGGCUUUCAAUGCUGCAUAAGGGAUUUUUGGAGCCCACUCUCAUUCUUGUGACUUUCCAAGUUGAAGUCAGUUGUGUAACCAGUUCCAAGAAUUGUUCCAGCCAGAAUGCAAAUGUCCUUCAUAGGGCAGGUUUGCCUUAGGUAGCGCAGUUUAGCUCAAAUUAAAAUACUCAUUUUGGAAUUCUAUAUUCUCUCCCCAGUCAUGCAGCCUCUCUGCAACAUGAACAGUGUUUGCUGGACCCUGCAGUCAUUAUCUUGAGCAGGUUAGAAUGAGAUUUGGGUGUUGCCUACAUCACAAGGAACCAGUGUAGGUUAAACACACAUUGCCUCAUCUGAUUUUAAGCCCCAUCCAAUUUCUUCAUUGAAAGGACUGUGGGACAUGGUGUCUUCCGAUUUAAACUACAGAUAGAACCACCACUCUUCACCUACGCCACAGGUAGGAAACAGUUUGUAACAGGAUUUAAUUUAGAAAUUAUUGAAGGAGAUCAUCAUUCUGGAAGUGGGAGAUUUAAAUUCUAUGAGGCACUUUGUUCUUGACGCUUUUGCCGACAUUUUGGAGCAAUAACUAAUCCGAAAUACGUUUGUCCUGGCAACAUUUACGAAAUCCCAAAAAUAGCUAUAAUACAAAACAUGACAGGGAUCUAGUUUCUUCCACUGGCAGCAUAUUCUCGGAUCCAUUAUGUUCACUUGGGAGUUAAAGUCAUUUACCAUGUGUGCUGAUAAUCCUAAUUGGCAGUGCAGUCAACAUUCUCAGAGUAAAACUAACUCAUUUUCACUUUUAUCCCGGUCCCAGACCCCAUGUAUGAAGUUCUGUUGACAGAAGUUAUGAUGAUUUACUAAUUCAGAUCAACAAAUUUUAUAUUUAAAUAAUCUGAGAAGGAUCAAUAUUGAAUUAUGGAGCAACAUAAUAUUUUGGACCAGUAGUAAGCCAUUUGAAUAAAACAAAGGACUGCAGAUGCUGGAGAUCUAAAGAAGGGUCACUGGACUUGAAACAUUAGCUCUGCUUUCUUUCCAUAGAUGUUGCCAGGCCUGCUGCAUUUCUCCAGCAAAUUGUUUUUGUUUGAAUCAGCCACUUGGGCCUGCACCACCAUUCACUAAAAUCGUGAAUAAUCUGGUUGUGAUUUUAGCAACUUUACUCUCUUCCUCCCAUAACUCCUGCCUCCCUUCUCUGCCAAAAUUAUCUAAUUGAAUGCCUUAAAUAAAUUCAGAAAUCACAUGACACCAUGUUAUCGUCCAACAGGUUUAUUUGACAACACAAGCUUUCAGAACCUCAGUCUUUCUUCAGGUGAUAGUGAGAGAGGUAGUAUCAAACACAGGAUUUAUAAGUCAAAGAUCAAAGGUUCACACCAUUGAUACUAAACAAACCUGAGAUGCUGUUGAAUCUUUAAUCAGUUAGAAGGCUCUACUAAUAUGCAUAUGUAAUCCCUGAAUUUCUUUCAAGCCACAGUCCUGAGAGAACUAAAGGUUUUAAUAAUGUAAGGAAGAGGUGACAUUUUAGGUCAGACAAUGCACACUA